rnacentral:lncRNA from 1 species
AGCAAGAAGCACAGCACCGCCAGUUACCACGCAGACAUCCUGGGGAACUGAGAUACACCAGCAGUCCAGUUCGGGAGAGUCCGAAGAGCAAACAUGAAUCAGCAGUAGUGCCAUCACCUAACAGGGACAUCCAGGCCUCAGCCAGAUCAGCACAAGUCAGCAGGAGGGACCAGAACCAACAGGGACACCAGGAGUUCUUUGCUGUGCCUCUCUCAGUGAAGCAAAGAUCAUCAAAGAUGAGAGACCAAGAAGUAUUGCAGAGCUAGCUCUACAAGCAAGCCCCUCUCAGUCCUAUUUACACUCCCUCCAAAAAUCACGUGCUCUCCACAGCUCUUGCCUCAGCAUGUGAGUCUGUCUUAGCAAAACUCCACGAGUCUAUAUCAGCUGACAUCACUCUGCCAGUUGACCCAAGUCCUCAGAAGCUGCAAGAAGCCGCAGCAUACUACCAGAAGGUUUUUUUGGUGUAUUUCGAUUUCUGGAGUCCUGACAAAUGGCGCUCAACUACACAAUUUAAGGCAGACCAAUACUUGUGUGUUGUUAAUGAAGAAUCCGUCACCAUGUGUCCUUUCACGUGCUUGCUUUAGCAGAAAAUCCUUUCACGCGUGUCUGCUUCAGUGAAACAUUCCUUCACAAGUCUGCCUUAGCAAAACAUCCUUUCACCUGUGUCCACUUCAGGGAAAAACUCCUUCAUGUGUUUGUCCCAGCAAAACACCAUCCAACACAACUGACUUUCCAAAGAACCCUUCAACCUAAAAAAAAAA